rnacentral:tRNA from 1 species
GGGGAUGUAGCUCAAUGGUAAAGUAUUUGUCUAGCAUGCAUGGGGUCUGGGUUCAAUACCCAGCACCA